UAUAUAUACGUCUAGCGUAUGCUUACAUGUGUGCGUGGCUGCGCCCACCACGACACCUAUCCGUCAAUAAACCAGUGCAUAACUAGCUACCGGUUGUUUCACUUGUGCCCAUAACUACGUAUCUAACAUGGGCCGCCUCCAGGCGAUACACGGAGAGUGAUGCGUCCCCGUCCCAAAAUAGAUUUUAAGAAAUAUUACUAAUGUUAAUUUGAAAAUUAGGUUAAAGGAUUAAUAGUUUAAUAGGUGGAGGGAUGAUAUAUAUACGUCUAGCGUAUGCUUACAUGUGUGCGUGGCUGCGCCCACCACGACACCUAUCCGUCAAUAAACCAGUGCAUAACUAGC